CCCUUAGAUGUUCGGGGCCGCACGCGCGCUACACUGAAGGAAUCAACGUGUGUCUUCCCUGGCCCGGAAGGGUCGGGUAACCCGUUGAACCUCCUUCGUGCUAGGGAUUGGGGAUUGUAAUUCUUCCCCAUGAACGAGGAAUUCCCAGUAAGCGCGAGUCAUAAGCUCGCGUUGAUUACGUCCCUGCCCUUUGUACACACCGCCCGUCGCUACUACCGAUUGGAUGGUUUAGUGAGAUCCUCGGAUUGGUCCUGGCGUGGUGGGCAACUUCCGUGCCACGGUGCCGAGAAGACGAUCGAACUUGAUCAUCUAGAGGAAGUAAAAGUCGUAACA
rnacentral:rRNA from 1 species